rnacentral:rRNA from 1 species
GACAGAGGGUGCAAACGUUGUUCGGAAUUACUGGGCGUAAAGCGCGUGUAGGCGGCCAAGUGUGUCGGAUGUGAAAUCCCACGGCUCAACCGUGGAAGUGCAUUCGAAACUGCUUGGCUGGAGUUUCGGAGAGGAAGGCGGAAUGCUUGGUGUAGAGGUGAAAUUCGUAGAUAUCAAGCAGAACACCUGUGGCGAAGGCGGCCUUCUGGACGAUGACUGACGCUGAGACGCGAAAGCGUGGGGAGCAAACAGG